UACGAAGGGGGCUAGCGUUGCUCGGAAUUACUGGGCGUAAAGGGCGCGUAGGCGGAUGUUUAAGUCGGGGGUGAAAGCCCGGGGCUCAACCUCGGAAUUGCCUUCGAUACUGGACAUCUUGAGUACGGGAGAGGUGAGUGGAACUCCGAGUGUAGAGGUGAAAUUCGUAGAUAUUCGGGAAGAACACCAGUGGCGAAGGCGACUCACUGGCCCGUUACUGACGCUGAGGCGCGAAAGCGUGGGGAGCGAACGG
rnacentral:rRNA from 1 species